rnacentral:tRNA from 1 species
CUCCUUGUGGUGUAGUUGGCUAUCACGUUCGGCUGUAAAUGUUACAUUCAUAUACCGAAAGGUCACCGGCUCGAUUCCGGUCGAGGAGA